rnacentral:misc_RNA from 1 species
GAUGAAGAACGUAGUGAAAUGCGAUAAGUAAUGUGAAUUGCAGAAUUCAGUGAAUCAUCGAAUCUUUGAACGCACAUUGCGCCCCCUGGUAUUCCGGGGGGCAUGCCUGUCCGAGCGUCAUUACAACCCACAAGCUCAGCUUGGUGUUGGGCCCCGCCGCCCCGGCGGGCCCUAAAGUCAGUGGCGGUGCCGUCCGGCUCCGAGCGUAGUAAUUCUUCUCGCUCUGGAGGUCCGGUCGUGUGCUCGCCAGCAACCCCCAAUUUUUUUCAGGUUGACCUCGGAUCAGGUAGGGAUACCCGCUGAACUUAAGCAUAUCAAUAAGCGGAGGA